CUCUUCCGGCUGCAAACUGUAAACACGUCUUCCUCGUCACUGUCCGACAAGUCUACAUAUCUGAAAAUGUAUAAAGCAAAAUGAAAAGUAUUCUAAAACCAACACAGUUGAACGGUCUAAAUGUACAUGCUUACAAAUUAACUUGACCGGUCAGGAUUAAAUAAUAGUUUAAGUAAUUAUAUGAAAGGAAGGGGUGGAAGAGAGGGAUUACUUACAUCUCGCUGGACUUGGGUGAUUCGGCGUCCGACUCCAUGUUCACUACUCACACAAAUAUUUAUGAGAUCUGAUUUUCGAGUAAUAAUUUUUAUUUUCUGGAGCAGUUUUCUUGUCGACUGAAUCCUUCGGGAAACAAACUCAGAAUGAUUGAACGUUUAUCACUUGUCGAUGCUCUACUUACUCCACAGCCAAGACAAGUUUGAUCUUGAUUACUCGAAACGGCGGCAGUCAAGCCGCAUGAGUCAGUCCAGAGGUCUCAAAAAAAUCAUUGAGUUUGAGCCCGCUCAUUUCAAAUUCAGCAGUUGUUUUAUUAUAUCCUGACUGACGUUAAAACAAUUACUUUUCUCUCUUUUUAUAAUUGCAAAAAUAAAAAUUUUAAAAAAAUUCGGUGUUAACAUUUGCACCGGUGACCGAUGUCGGUCCCUCGUCAUCAACCAUUGUGUUCCAAGUGCUUCAAACUGAAUCGUAAGUAUUUCUUUUUAAAUUUUUUUUAUUGGACAUCACAUAUUAAUAGUUUCUUAUUUUCAUAUACAAAAUAUAACUGCCCCGAAGGUCGACAAUUAAUCAAUCUCGACCCCCAACACUUAGUGAGAUCAUCUGUUCAUAUGUUUUACAAUUGUGGGAAGACGGGCACAAAAGGGAACAUUGUCCACUCCCCCCCAAACCCCUCAGAAUUCCAAAGUGCUCUGAGAAGGAAGGGAGUCGAGGCUAAGCGGCGUGCUGGGGUCAAUCCUGGAUUCAAAAUGGGUGGGGUGUGGGAAAAUAAAAUGGUGCAACGCCAACAGUGGCAAGUAGAAGGACGUAAUAUUCCAGUGAGAACAUAUAUUUAUGUAAGCAUGGAUUUUUGAACCGGUUCAAAUAUAUUUUGUAUUAGAUUUGUCUGAUCGAGAAAGAGUUGAUGUCAAUAAAAUCUUCACUUUUUUGCUAACUAAAUACUCCAAUCAAAAUCUACCAUUUUCCAUCUGUUGCGUUUUAACAAGCGCUAUUUUUACGCCAAAGGCUAUACAAAAUGGUAUUAACUCGUGUUUCAUGACCACUCUUAAGGCCCUUGACAAAGGCCAAGGCAUACUGGCAUAAAGUCUACGCAUCUUCUUUCUUCCAUCACAACCGGGUUGACAUAUGGAUGGGCUAGUCUUUCUUCUUUUCAAUUUUUUCACUCAUUAUUAUUCACGAUUCGUUGUUCUAUGAGAGAACAUGUGUCCGAUUUGAUUCGAUACAUCGUAAAAAUGUAGGCACUUCCUUCCUUUGAAACCAAGAGUUGUAAUUGGUUUCUUAACAAACACCGUCUAAUCCACCAUUUCAUGAUGCGAUGCAACUCUGUAGAAUCGUUUUAGGCUGUUGACUCUCGGUGGGAAAAGUAACUAGUAUUUACCUAAGCUAUGGUUGCAUCUUCAUUUUCAACACACAGUUACAUCUCUAUUUGCAUUUUAAAAUUGCACAUGAUCCAACCAACCCAGCAAGAUUUAAUUGUUAAGGGCGAGUUGUUCAGCACGUACUCGCACAAUGAUUGGCAAUAAACUUGUAUGUAACAGAAGAAAUUGAAUUAAAAUCGAGAUUUAAUGAAGCAUAUCAAUUUUCCAUUUGAUAUUUCAAUUUACCAUUCGAAAUUUUAAUUUACAAUUCAAAUUAUGUUGUAAUUGCAAACAUUACUUUGUCUUAUCUAGGCAUAACCGUACUAAAAAAGUAAAAUUCUUACCAGAAUCUCACCUUGCCUCGAGGAGCUGAUAUUAAUUUGUACUGCAACUAUGCUGAAAAAAAAUAAAAGAUAAUGGAAUUUUGUACAAGAAUCUAACUGCAAUAAGCUGCAUUUCCACAAAAAAUUCUACCCGAGUGUUACGUUAUCUCACCAAUCUUAUUUACUUAAUCGGUUAAAUUACAUCCAUACGAAAUGCAUGUGUGUAUGAGUUGAAGAUGUUGUUUGAUAAAUAAUUACUUAUAAACUCAAUUGCCUGUCAUGCCUCGGUUUGCCUGCCCAAUCCAAUUUUUAUACGGACUCUCUUAUAAUCUAGUUAAUAUUCUGUAAAGUUAGAAAUACUGAGUCUCCUUCCACCAUAUCGAUUUCAACGUUACGCUAAUCCUUUAUAUCAAUAUCACAUCGAUUCACUUCACUCAUCAGAAUACGUAAGAAGCAUAAGAAAAGAAGACCAGCCUGUACUAACUGCAUCAACAAAUCAACUCAACUACCUUCUUUACUUUACUUUACUUAUGGCCAUGGAAAAACUCGUUGUCUCUAAGCUUAAUCUCGAUUCUGGAUUGUAUUACUACUGAAAUUGAACCUAGCAAUUUACCUGA